rnacentral:rRNA from 1 species
AUUGAACGCUGGCGGCAUGCCUUACACAUGCAAGUCGAACGGCAGCAUGGAGAGCUUGCUCUCUGAUGGCGAGUGGCGAACGGGUGAGUGAUGCAUCGGAACGUACCGUGUAAUGGGGGAUAACGUAGCGAAAGUUACGCUAAUACCGCAUACGACCUGAGGGUGAAAGCAGGGGAUCGCAAGACCUUGCGUUAUACGAGCGGCCGAUGUCAGAGUAGCUAGUUGGUGAGGUAAAGGCUCACCAAGGCGACGAUCUGUAGCGGGUCUGAGAGGAUGAUCCGCCACACUGGGACUGAGACACGGCCCAGACUCCUACGGGAGGCAGCAGUGGGGAAUUUUGGACAAUGGGGGCAACCCUGAUCCAGCCAUGCCGCGUGAGUGAAGAAGGCCUUCGGGUUGUAAAGCUCUUUCGGCCGGGAAGAAAUCGCACAGGCUAAUACUCUGUGUGGAUGACGGUACCGGCAUAAGAAGCACCGGCUAACUACGUGCCAGCCGCCGCGGUAA